rfam:Triticum aestivum genome assembly, contig: Triticum_aestivum_CS42_TGACv1_scaffold_569717_7AS
CUAGUACUCCCUCCGUUCCGAAUUACUUGUCUUGGAUUUGUCUAGAUACGGAUGUAUCCGUUCCGAAUUACUUCUCUUGGAUUUGUCUAGAUACGGAUGUAUCUAGACUCAUUUUAGUGCUAGAUACCUCCGUAUCUAGACAAAUCUAAGACAAGUAAUUCGGAACGGAGGGAGUAACAA